ensembl:lncRNA
GGAGGCGAAUGGGUCCAGUGACUGCUCCUUUACUGUCGGGGAAGCCAAGGCUCAGAGCUUAUGUGACUUUCCCACGGUCACCUGUGGAGCCAGAGGCAGAGUUAUGAUUCAGGUGUGUGGUACUCAGCUUUGACCUGAAGUCUUGCUGGCUCCCCACCUCCUCUCUCCGUGGUGUUGAACAAACGGGUGAAAUUAAUGAUCUUGUGAAGAGAAAGAAGCCAGAGAAAGAGCAAAAAUGGACAAGUCAGCAUUUUUCUGUUAGGUUCCCAGUGAAUUAGGCUGAGUGGAUGGAUGGGCGGAUGAGACUUCGGAAAACGGUACAUCUACUGAGCCACACACCACGCGGUCCUCCUCACAAGUUCUGAACAGCUCUCCCUGCUCCUCUGUCCUUUCACCCAUCUACGUAAUAUCAUGCUAUAAAUGACAGCAACUCUUCCAGCCAAGGAGGAAAAAUAGGGGCAGCAUUAAGGGAGAAGCUGAGAAGUGAUGUGCUUUGUCCAGAAGAGUGGAAGAAUAGAUGGAAUGGAAUCUCCCCACCUCCUCUCAUUUGCUGACGCCCUGCUCUGGACUAAAUUACGAUUGCUUCCUGCCCGGUUUCCCGUGAGGUGAUCCAUCUGGCGUUUGUGGUUGGGCUCAGAGAGAUCCUGGGAGGAGAGACUGGGCAAGGAGAGAGAGGAAAAGUGGCCUGUCCCCCACUGCUGUGUGAGCACAGGAGGAGAGAGAUAAAUUAGCCUUGUCACGCUUUCCCCAGGCUCUACAAGAGCAGAACAGUUCCCGUCCCCUGUGGGAAGAUCAGCCAUUAUUUAUGAGCCCCUUUGAAGGGGGCACCAUGGG